rnacentral:pre_miRNA from 1 species
GGGGAAUGUUGUCUGGCUCGAGGACCCUUUCAUCUUGAUCCACUGCUACUACUGUAUCCUUUCAUAGAGAAUUCUGUGCUAGCUUGUGGUCAAGGAAUAUGUAUAGUGUUGUCGGACCAGGCUUCAUUCCCC